rnacentral:rRNA from 1 species
AAUCAACGCUGGCGGCGUGCCUAACACAUGCAAGUCGCACGAGAAAGGGACUUCGGUCCUGAGUACAGUGGCGCACGGGUGAGUAACACGUGAAUCAUCUACCUUCGAGUGGGGAAUAACUGAGAGAAAUCUUAGCUAAUACCGCAUAAUACCUACGGGUCAAAGCAGCAAUGCGCUUGAAGAGGAGUUCGCGGCAGAUUAGUUAGUUGGCAGGGGUAAUGGCCUACCAAGACGAUGAUCUGUAUCCGGCCUGAGAGGGCGCACGGACACACUGGAACUGAAACACGGUCCAGACUCCUACGGGAGGCAGCAGUGGGGAAUUUUGCGCAAUGGGGGAAACCCUGACGCAGCAACGCCGCGUGGAGGAUGAAAUCCCUUGGGAUGUAAACUCCUUCGAUCGGGAAGAUAAUAGACGGUACCGAGAGAAGAAGCCCCGGCUAACUUCGUGCCAG